rnacentral:rRNA from 1 species
AUUGAACGCUGGCGGCAGGCCUAACACAUGCAAGUCGAACGAGUGGCGGACGGGUGAGUAAUGUCUGGGAAACUGCCUGAUGGAGGGGGAUAACUACUGGAAACGGUAGCUAAUACCGCAUACCAUCAGAUGUGCCCAGAUGGGAUUAGCUAGUUGGUGGGGUAACGGCUCACCAAGGCGACGAUCCCUAGCUGGUCUGAGAGGAUGACAAGCCACACUGGAACUGAGAAGCAGUCCAGCCUCCUACGGGAGUCAGCGGUGGGUAAGAUUGCACAAUGGGCGCAAUCCUUGUGCAGCCAUGCCGCUUGUAUGAAGAAGGCCUUCGGGUUGUAAAGUACUUUCAGCGGGGAGGCGUUACCCGCAGAAGAAGCACCGGCUAACUCCGUGCCAGCAGCCGCGGUAAUUC